rnacentral:rRNA from 1 species
AUACGGAGGGUGCAAGCGUUGUCCGGAAUUAUUGGGCGUAAAGAGUUCGUAGGUGGCGUGUUAAGUCUGGUGUUAAAGCCCGAAGCUCAACUUCGGUUCGGCACUGGAUACUGGCAAGCUAGAAUGUGGUAGAGGUAAAGGGAAUUCCUGGUGUAGCGGUGAAAUGCUUAGAUAUCAGGAGGAACAUCGGUGGCGAAAGCGCUUUACUGGGCCAUUAUUGACACUGAGGAACGAAAGCCGGGGUAGC